UUCCCCUAGCAACAGGCUCAGUCGCAGCGCGAAAGCGUGGCGGGCGCAUGCGCCACAGCUCUCUCCACCAGCAGUCCUUGGACCGCGCGCUUGGGCUCCACCCCAAGCAAGCCAAGCCUUUCUCCUCUCCUCUUCCCACCAAGGAUCCGCGUGGCGGGGCGCGCGCGCACUUGGGCUCGAAGGCAGCUUGUCGUCUGGGCCGCGGCGGCUACUGGCGAGGGGCGGGGCUAUUUCCUUUGGGGCCCCACCCCUUUGGCCCGGCGUGCAUACCGCGCCUGCGCGCUCCCGCCCGGUCUCCAUCUUGGAAUUGGGAGGAAGAGAGAGAGGGAGAGAGAGGGAGGCCGGGACGAGAGCAGGGCUGUGGUGCGGUGAGAAGCUGAGACGAAAAGGAAAGGGAGUGAGGCACAGGGACCAUCAGCAGCGCCUCCGCUACAGUCCUUCAGCUGUUCCGGAGAGAGAGGACGGGAAAGGGAGUAGGCCAGGGCUGGAGUAGGGGCUGUCACUCUCGGACCCCAGCCUUAGAGGGGCCGUGCAGCCGGGCGUCCUCGGGGUGGGCCCCUUGUCGUGGCCGAAGACCUGGGGCUCAGGCCCCUGGGUCCCAAAUUUUGGGGCUUGGUCCCUUGUUUCUCAGAUACCCAGGUAUCAAACCCUCGUAUAUCAGAUAUCUGGGACCCAAAGUCCCAACCUUUACAAACCUGGGUCUCUGUUUUAUAGAAUUUAAAAUACCUGGGAUUCAGGACCCUGUGUGCACCAAUAUCCGGGGUUCAUCCUCCAAGCGAUCAGAUAUCGGACUCAUUUUUAGCCCUUGCAAAUAUACGGGGCUCAGACCCCACAAUCGGAAAUCCGGGAUUCAGCAACUGUCGCCCUCGAGUUGGGGGAGGACUGGACCGCGAGGUCAGAUCAGGUUGUCACCCCCUCCCCUCCAGGGGAGGCUUCCCGGGCCCGCCCCUCAGGAAGGGCGAAAGCUGAGGAAGAGGUGGCGAGGGGGAAGGUCUCCUUGCCCCUCUCCCUGCUUGUCAGAGCAACUGGAGUACCCCAGGCGGAAGCGGAGGCGCUGGGGCACCAUAGUGACCCCUACCAGGCAAGAUCCCAAUCUCAGGGCCCCCUGGGGCCAUCAUGCCAGCUGGGGGCCGGGCCGGGAGCCUGAAGGACCCUGAUGUGGCUGAGCUCUUCUUCAAGGAUGACCCUGAGAAGCUCUUCUCUGACCUCCGGGAGAUCGGCCAUGGCAGCUUUGGAGCAGUGUACUUUGCCCGGGAUGUCCGGAACAGUGAGGUGGUGGCCAUCAAGAAGAUGUCCUAUAGUGGGAAGCAAUCAAAUGAGAAAUGGCAGGAUAUCAUCAAGGAAGUGCGGUUCUUACAGAAGCUACGGCAUCCUAAUACCAUUCAGUACCGGGGCUGUUACCUGAGGGAGCACACAGCUUGGCUGGUGAUGGAGUAUUGCCUGGGCUCAGCUUCUGAUCUUCUAGAAGUGCACAAGAAACCCCUGCAGGAGGUAGAGAUUGCAGCUGUGACCCAUGGGGCUCUUCAGGGCCUGGCAUAUCUACACUCACACAACAUGAUCCAUAGAGAUGUGAAGGCUGGAAACAUCUUGCUGUCAGAACCAGGCUUGGUAAAACUGGGGGACUUUGGCUCUGCGUCAAUCAUGGCACCUGCCAACUCUUUUGUGGGUACUCCAUACUGGAUGGCUCCAGAGGUGAUCCUAGCCAUGGAUGAGGGACAAUAUGAUGGCAAAGUGGAUGUCUGGUCCUUGGGGAUAACCUGUAUUGAGCUAGCGGAGCGGAAGCCACCACUGUUCAACAUGAAUGCAAUGAGUGCCUUAUACCACAUUGCACAGAAUGAAUCUCCUGCUCUCCAGUCAGGACACUGGUCUGAGUACUUCCGGAAUUUUGUUGACUCCUGUCUUCAGAAAAUCCCUCAAGACAGACCAACCUCAGAGGUUCUUUUGAAGCACCGCUUUGUGCUCCGGGAGCGACCGCCCACAGUCAUCAUGGACCUAAUCCAGAGGACCAAGGAUGCUGUACGGGAACUGGAUAACCUGCAGUACCGAAAGAUGAAGAAGAUACUGUUCCAAGAGGCACCCAAUGGCCCUGGUGCUGAGGCCCCAGAGGAAGAGGAGCUCACACCCUGUUCCCAGGAGGCAGAACCUUACACGCACCGUGCAGGGACACUGACCAGUCUAGAGAGCAGCCAUUCAGUGCCCAGCAUGUCCAUCAGCGCCUCCAGCCAGAGCAGCUCAGUCAACAGCCUAGCAGAUGCCUCAGAUAAUGAAGAAGAGGAGGAAGAAGAAGAGGAAGAGGAGGAGGAGGAGGAGGAAGAAGGCCCUGAAUCCAGAGAGAUGGCCAUGAUGCAGGAGGGGGAGCAUACAGUCACUUCCCACAGCUCCAUCAUCCACCGGCUGCCGGGCUCAGACAACCUAUAUGAUGAUCCCUACCAGCCAGAGAUGACCCCAGGUCCACUCCAGCCACCUGCAGCCCCUCCCACCUCCACCUCCUCUUCUGCUCGCCGCAGAGCUUAUUGCCGCAACCGAGACCACUUUGCUACCAUUCGUACUGCCUCCCUGGUCAGCCGUCAGAUCCAGGAGCAUGAGCAGGACUCAGCCCUGCGAGAGCAGCUGAGUGGCUACAAGCGGAUGCGACGUCAGCACCAGAAGCAACUGCUGGCCCUGGAGUCCCGUCUGAGGGGUGAACGUGAGGAGCACAGUGGGCGGUUACAGCGGGAGCUCGAGGCACAGCGGGCUGGCUUUGGGACCGAGGCUGAGAAGCUGGCCCGGAGGCACCAGGCCAUUGGUGAGAAGGAGGCACGGGCUGCUCAGGCGGAGGAGCGGAAGUUCCAGCAGCACAUCCUGGGGCAGCAGAAGAAGGAGCUGGCCGCCCUGCUGGAGGCGCAGAAGCGAACCUACAAGCUGCGGAAGGAGCAGUUGAAAGAGGAGCUCCAGGAGAACCCUAGCACACCCAAACGAGAGAAGGCUGAGUGGCUGUUGAGGCAAAAGGAGCAGUUGCAACAGUGCCAGGCAGAAGAGGAAGCGGGGCUGCUGCGGAGGCAGCGCCAGUACUUUGAACUUCAGUGUCGCCAAUACAAGCGCAAGAUGCUACUGGCUCGGCACAGCCUAGAUCAGGACCUGCUUCGAGAGGACUUGAAUAAGAAACAGACACAGAAGGACUUGGAGUGUGCUCUGCUGUUACGGCAGCAUGAGGCUACCCGAGAGCUGGAGCUAAGACAGCUCCAGGCUGUCCAGCGCACACGUGCUGAACUUACCCGCCUUCAGCACCAGACAGAACUAGGCAACCAGCUGGAGUACAACAAGCGACGGGAGCAAGAAUUACGGCAGAAGCACGCGGCCCAGGUUCGCCAGCAGCCCAAGAGCCUCAAAGUACGUGCAGGCCAGCUACCCAUGGGCCUCCCUGCUACUGGGGCUCUGGGACCACUCAGCACAGGCACCCCUAGUGAAGAGCAGCCUUGCUCAUCUGGCCAGGAGGCAAUCCUGGACCAAAGGAUGCUGGGAGAGGAGGAGGAAGCAGUGCCAGAGAGAAGGAUUCUGGGAAAGGAAGGGACUACCUUGGAGCCAGAGGAGCAGAGGAUUCUGGGGGAAGAAAUGGGAACCUUUAGUUCCAGCCCACAAAAACAUAGGAGUCUGGCUAAUGAGGAAGAUUGGGAUAUAUCUGAGGAGAUGAAGGAGAUUAGAGUCCCAUCACUGGCAUCCCAGGAGAGAAAUAUUAUUGGCCAGGAAGAGGCAGCGGCAUGGAGUCUGUGGGAGAAGGAGGGUGGGAACCUUGUGGAUGUGGAGUUCAAGCUUGGCUGGGUCCAGGGUCCAGUUCUGACUCCAGUCCCGGAGGAGGAAGAGGAGGAGGAAGAAGAGGGAGGGGCUCCAAUUGGAACCCACAGGGACCCUGGAGAUGGCUGUCCUUCCCCAGAUAUCCCCCCAGAGCCACCUCCAUCACAUCUGAGACAGUACCCUACUAGCCAGCUCCCUGGACUCCUGUCUCAUGGCCUCCUGGCUGGCCUAUCCUUUGCAGUGGGGUCCUCCUCUGGCCUCCUGCCCCUACUCCUCCUGCUGCUACUCCCAUUGCUGGCAGCCCAGGGUGGAGGUGGCUUGCAGGCAGCACUGCUGGCCCUUGAGGUAGGGCUAGUGGGCCUGGGGGCCUCCUACCUGUUCCUUUGUACAGCUCUACACCUGCCCCCCGGUCUGUUCUUACUCCUGGCUCAGGGUACUGCACUGUUGGCUGUCCUUAGCCUGAGCUGGCGCAGAGGCCUUAUGGGUGUGCCUCUGGGCCUUGGGGCUGCCUGGCUCCUAGCUUGGCCCAGCCUGGCUUUACCUCUGGCAGCUAUGGCAGCUGGGGGCAAAUGGGUACGGCAACAAGGCCCCCAGAUGCGUCGGGGUAUCUCUCGACUCUGGUUGAGGAUUUUGCUACGCCUGUCACCCAUGGUCUUUCGGGCCCUACAGGGCUGUGGGGCUGUAGGAGACCGGGGGCUGUUUGCCCUGUACCCUAAGACCAAUAAGAAUGGUUUCCGAAGUCGACUACCUGUCCCUUGGCCCCGUCAGGGAAAUCCUCGCACUACUCAACACCCCCUAGCUCAGUUAACAAGAGUUUGGGCUGUGUGCAAGGGCUGGAACUGGCGCCUAGCACGGGCUAGCCACAGAUUAGCUUCUUGCUUGCCCCCCUGGGCUGUUCAUAUACUAGCCAGCUGGGGCCUGCUUAAGGGUGAACGGCCUAGUCGGAUCCCUCGGCUGCUGCCACGCAGCCAACGCCGUCUUGGGCUCUCUGCUUCCCGACAGCUACCACCAGGGACUGUAGCUGGGCGGAGAUCUCAGACUCGCAGGACCCUGCCUCCCUGGAGGUAACCAGUUCCAAUUCUCCACCCAAAUUUAGGGCACUGAGCACUUUAUCUCCCAUGACUCAGUAAAGUUUCUCCAGUCUCCCAGCCUCUCCUCCCCUUCUGACCUUUCUUCCUCAGUAUGUUUUCCCAAGUCCAAUCCCGGCCCCAGAUCUAGGUUUUUAGACAGGCAGCCUCCUCUGCUAUGGAGUCCAGAAAUGACACUCUUUGUGUUUUCCCCAGUCCCCUAAGUUAUUGCUGUCCCCUGCUGUGUGUGCUCAUCCUCACCCUCAUUGGCUCAGGCCUGGGGCCAGGGGUGGCAGGGAUGGAAGUCAUGGGGGUUUUCCCUCUUUGAUUUUGUUUUUCUGUCUCCCUUCCAACCUGUCCCCUUCCCCUCCACCAAAAAAGAAAAAAAAAAAAAAAAGAAAAACACAAAUAAAAUAUCUGAGCGGAACUACACCUUUGGCCCAGGCUGCCUCUGUCUGCUUUGUCCUACCGCCCAGCCUCCCUGGUUUGCCCUGAAUCUGGACCCUGGCCCUCAGCUCCAUGACCGCCUCACCCCACCUCCGUUGUCUUCACUCCUUUCACACCUCAGCCUCAUCCUCUGCCUUCAUAGAUUCAUUGCACCAUGACCACAACCAGCUCUGGGCUGUGAGUCCCUGUGGAGCUUCCACAGAGCUUCCUCAUCUCACAGUUCCACCUGUUUGUGCGACCCUUCCAGCGAGUACUUACUUAGGGUUAAAGGCUUUUGGUCUUUUUGCCCCUUCCUUUACUGUGAACCUAUUGCUUACACGGUUUGGAACUGCGUCUCUCACCUGGGUCAGGCAUUAGUCUACAGGGUUGGGGUUGGAACCACAGAACCUCCAGUCAAGGGUGGUGAGUUGGGACCAGGUAGAAUGUACAAAAACUAGAGGUCUGGGAUUGCUGUGGGCUUGGAGUUGGGUUGAUUAUGUUGGGCUGAGCUGAAGUGUGGAUCUGGUCAGGGGGGCAGCUGCUCCCAGCGGAACUUCUCAGAUCUUUUCUGGCCACUCUCUGCUGCCGUUUCCCUUCAGUGGCCUGACAUGGGGCAUCCUCUUACCCAUUCCUCAGCCCAGUGCUGCUUCCUGCCUGCCUUCCUUCAGGUACUGGGCCUGGGCUUUCCUCUGCCUGCCCUUAGUUGUAUUACCCUUUCGUGGAUGUUGUGUGUGCCUUGGUCUCUCACUCAGCCUUUUAUAUUCUUUUAUAUUCAAUGUGAUCACAUCCUUCUGUCUCAGGGCAAUAUUUUCUCCCUCCCUCUUCGCAUGAUCAGCGUUUCUUUUGUGUACUCAGCCCUCUAAAGAUUCUCAGCUUCCUGUCUGUAAGAUCUUUACGUCUCUUCUUGUGCAUCCAGUGCAACUCUGGAUGUACUCAGAGCCUCUCUCCUUCCUCCACCUCUCUUGCCCAUGGAGACUUUCAUCUCUCAACAGUUCCAUCUUUCCACGUCUGUCUGUGUACAGCUCCCCCCGCCCCCUCUGUCUAACAUGUUUUCUGUUUCUCUCCCUCUCCCUGUCUCUGCUUCUGUCUCUUCCUCCUUUUCUUCCUUCCCCUCGUUGUUCCUCUUCCUCCUCCUCUUCUCCUUCUCCCCUGCCCCGUUUCCCCUUGAUCCGUUCACUGCACAGUCAAAGGAGCUGCAGAUCAAGAAGCAGUUCCAGGAGACGUGUAAGAUCCAGACGCGGCAAUACAAGGCUCUUCGGGCACACUUGCUGGAGACCACACCCAAAGCUCAGCACAAGAGCCUUCUUAAGCGGCUCAAGGAGGAGCAGACCCGCAAGCUGGCGAUCCUGGCUGAGCAGUAUGACCAGUCCAUUUCAGAGAUGCUCAGCUCGCAGGCGGUGAGGCCUGGGCUCUGGGAGGGGACUGUGGAGUUGGCCUUUGCUUUAAACCUUGUUGUGGCAAAGGAAGGUGGGAGAUGUGAACAGAGCUUUUGAACUUAGGAAACUUGGGUGCUCUUUCACUGCUAGCAUUUUCCAUAGUGGUUUUGUCUCCUUAGUGGCCUUAUUAUUUCUCUUACUAUUUUCCUAAUAUCUUAAGAAAGUAAAGUCACCCUGCCUGCUCUGCCAAGAACCACCAAAGAAAAUACUGGCUGUAAUAUAUUUUUGUGGGUCUGAGUUUACUUUGUGUGAACAGGGAGCAGGGGAGCAGGUUACAAUGAGUGUGGCUCUCAGACCAUUUUACUCAGACUUCAGGAAUCUGGAAAGAAUCUCUUAGGAAAACGGUACCAGCACUGGAGUGGCCUGCUUCAAAUGCACCUUGAGUCUAAAGAGCUAGAGGCCCCGCUCUCACUCAGUCCCACCUCUCAGAGGUGCAUUUGUAAUGAUUGCCUUAUGUAGAGUUUCCAGUGCAGAUUUGAAACACAAUAGGAUCAGACUUUACAGUAGUUUUCUGACUUCUUUUCCACCCAGUAUCUCUUGGACAUCAUUCCAGAUCACAUGUCUAUCUCAGUUUUUUACGGUAUAGAGUUUUCCAUGGAAUGGAUGUACCAUAAUUUAUUUAACCCAUCCCUUAUUGGUGGACAUUUAGGUUGUUUCCAGCAUUUUGCUAUCACAACGCUUCCGUGAACACUUGGAGCACAUGUGCAAGUAUACCUGGGGGAUAGAUUCCUGCAAGUGUAAUUGCUGUGCCACAGGGUAUGACCAUCUUCCAUUCUCAUAGAGGUUGAGACUGCCGCUCCUUGCCACCUUAGGGCCCAGGCCUACUGGGGCAGGGGAGGAUGAUGGGGACAGAGGAGGAGGUCCCUAAACCCUGUUCUCCCUGUCCUCCAGCUCCGGCUUGAUGAGACCCAAGAGGCAGAGUUUCAGGCCCUGCGGCAGCAGCUCCAGCAGGAGCUGGAGCUCCUCAACGCUUACCAGAGCAAGAUCAAGAUCCGCACAGAGAGCCAGCAUGAGCGGGAGCUGAGGGAGCUGGAGCAGAGAGUAGCUCUGAGGCGGGCACUGCUAGAGCAACGGGUGGAAGAAGAGCUGCUGGCCCUACAGACAGGCCGUUCGGAACGUAUCCGGAGUUUGCUUGAGCGGCAGGCCCGUGAGAUCGAGGCCUUCGAUGCUGAGAGCAUGAGACUGGGCUUCUCCAGCAUGGCUCUGGGGGGCAUUCCAGCUGAAGCUGCGGCCCAGGGCUAUCCUGCUCCACCCCCCGCCCCUGCCUGGCCCUCCCGUCCAGUUCCCCGUUCAGGGGCCCAUUGGAGCCAUGGCCCUCCUCCACCAGGCAUGCCCCCACCAGCUUGGCGUCAGCCAGCUCUGCUGGCUCCCCCAGGGCCUCCAAACUGGUUAGGGCCCCCAACACAGAGUGGAACACCCCGUGGAGGGGCUCUGCUGCUGCUAAGAAACAGUCCUCAACCCCUAAGGCGGGCAGCGUCAGGGGGCAGCAGUGGUGAGAACGUCGGCCCACCUGCUGCAGUGCCAGGGCCGCUGAGCCGAAGCACCAGUGUUGCUUCCCACAUCCUCAACGGCUCCUCCCACUUCUAUUCCUGAAGUCCAGAGUGGUGGGCAGAGGAGUAGGGCAAGGUGGGAGUGGGUGGUGCCUGAUCCUACAGGCAGUGUGCUUGAAGCCUACACAGUGGUGGUGGGGACAGAUGUUGGCUCCAGCUCCCCCAUCAGACCUCCUCAUCUCAUGAGCUUCUUGGGGCUGGCCAGUGACCCCAGGCCAGCUUGGGCAUUGGUGCCCCAAGGCUGACCAGGAGCCCUGCCUCCCCACCAUGGUGCCAGGGUCUCCCUCCAUCACCACCUAUAAAAGGUGGGAACUGUGAGUGUCAAAUAUUCAUCUGGUCCCCUAGGGGAGGGGAAGGGUGGGUCUAGAUAUAUUAUAUUUCAGAGAAUUAUACAACCCUUGUGAUGGGGCCAUGAACUGGGGACAACAGGGCCCCCAGACCUGGUGGAAUGGCAGAGCAGGUCUGGUGCCAAAGCAAGGAGAAUGGGAGGAGGCCUUCCUCCAGAAGGAUCAGGGGUCUUGCAGUCAGGGUGCCUGAGUCUCACCAUUCUCCUAUUGCUGUCUGACGUCCUGUGCCGUCUUGUCUUUUUUUUUUUUUUUUUUUUUUUUUAAAUUGGGGUCAGGGCUGGGGCGGGGGACAAGGGAAGGACCUUGGAAAGGGCUGCUGCCAAACCUGGGAGCAGUCAUGGGAGCCCCUCUCAGCUAUGGGGCUGGCACAGAGCCCUAGGGCGAGCUUUUAAUAAACUGUUGGUUAUUCUAACAGAC